rnacentral:tRNA from 2 species
GCGGUCGUGGCGGAACUGGUAGACGCGCAACGUUGAGGUCGUUGUAGGAUUAAAUUCCUGUGGAAGUUCGAGUCUUCUCGACCGCACCA